rnacentral:rRNA from 1 species
AUUGAACGCUGGCGGCAGGCUUAACACAUGCAAGUCGACCGAGUGGCGGACGGGUGAGUACUGUCUGGGAAACUGCCUGAUGGAGGGGGAUAACUACUGGAAACGGUAGCUAAUACCGCCUACCAUCGGCUGUUCCCAGAUGGGAUUAGCUAGUAGGUGGGGUAAAGGCUCACCUAGGCGACGAUCCCUAGCUGGUCUGAGAGAAUGAACAGGCACACUGGAACUGAGAUAUGGUCCAUACUCCUAGGGGAUGCAGCAGUGGGGAAUAUUGCACAAUUGGCGAAAGCCUGAGGCACGCAUGCCGAGUGGAUGAAGAAGGCCUUCGGGUUGGAAAGUACUUUCAGCGGGGAGGCGUUACUCGCAGAAGAAGCACCGGCUAACUCCGUGCCAGCAGCCGCGGUAAUUC